GAGCAAUCUGCUACUAAGGNNCAUGGGCCUUUNUGUGCGCAUUAGCUAGUUGGUGAGGUAACGGCUCACCAAGGCGACGAUGCGUAGCCGACCUGAGAGGGUGAACGGCCACACUGGGACUGAGACACGGGCCCAGACUCCUACGGGAGGCAGCAGUAGGGAAUCUUCCGCAAUGGGCGAAAGCCUGACGGGAGCAACGCCGCGUGAGUGAUGAAGGGUUUUCG
rnacentral:rRNA from 1 species